AGACCCGAAACCCGGUGAUCUAGCCAUGGGCAGGUUGAAGGUUGGGUAACACUAACUGGAGGACCGAACCGACUAAUGUUGAAAAAUUAGCGGAUGACCUGUGGCUGGGGGUGAAAGGCCAAUCAAACCGGGAGAUAGCUGGUUCUCCCCGAAAGCUAUUUAGGUAGCGCCUCGUGAAUUCAUCUCCGGGGGUAGAGCACUGUUUCGGCUAGGGGGCCAUCCCGGCUUACCAACCCGAUGCAAACUGCGAAUACCGGAGAAUGUUAUCACGGGAGACACACGGCGGGUGCUAACGUCCGUCGUGAAGAGGGAAACAACCCAGACCGCCAGCUAAGGUCCCAAAGUCAUGGUUAAGUGGGAAACGAUGUGGGAAGGCCCAGACAGCCAGGAUGUUGGCUUAGAAGCAGCCAUCAUUUAAAGAAAGCGUAAUAGCUCACUGGUCGAGUCGGCCUGCGCGGAAGAUGUAACGGGGCUAAACCAUGCACCGAAGCUGCGGCAGCGAACGUAUCACUUAAAGCGAUUCAGCGGGUUACGAUUGACGGAGCGAAGCGACGUCAAAGCGUAUACAAAGUCGAGUCGGUUUAAGGAUACGUUCGU
rnacentral:rRNA from 2 species